UCUUUCUUUGCUGGCGACCGGCGCACGGGUGAGUAACACGUAUCCAACCUGCCCUUUACUCGGGGAUAGCCUUUCGAAGGAAAGAUUAAUACCCGAUAGUAUAAUGAUUCCGCAUGGUUUCAUUAUUAAAGGAUUCCGGUAAAGGAUGGGGAUGCGUUCCAUUAGGUCGUUGGUGAGGUAACGGCUCACCAAGCCUUCGAUGGAUAGGGGUUCUGAGAGGAAGGUCCCCCACAUUGGAACUGAGACACGGUCCAA
rnacentral:rRNA from 1 species